UACGUAGGCAGCGAGCGUUGUUCGGAGUUACUGGGCGUAAAGGGCGCGUAGGCGGCGACCCAAAUCAGAUGUGAAAGUCCUGGGCUUAACCUGGGGACUGCAUUUGAUACUGGGUUGCUUGAAUUCGGGAGAGGAUAGCGGAAUUCCCAGUGUAGAGGUGAAAUUCGUAGAUAUUGGGAAGAACACCAGUGGCGAAGGCGGCUCACUGGUCCGGUACUGACGCUGAGGUGCGAAAGCGUGGGGAGCAAACAGG
rnacentral:rRNA from 1 species